AUGUGGAGGUUCGACGUCAUUCAAAUUCGUCCUAUUUUUUGUCACUGGUAUCCUCUUGGGAAUUAAUUAAUGCUAUUUAUAUUGAAACUUCUAAAUAAGCUUGGUUACUCUAAUUUAGUCUCUCAUGUUUAUUUGCCUUUAGAUUGUAUUAAUUUGUUUUCUUUCAUGAAAAGGGUUGUUGAUUAAACCAUUAAUCUUAAUCGAUUUUAAUAAUAUGUCAAAUAAUUUUAAAAGUUAACAUGAAAAAUUUAUAAGAUGUAAAAUUUUAAUCUCACCGUGAAUUUUAUAAAAUUUGUAUUUGUAUUCCUUAUUAUAUUCAAUUAUCAACAUCUUAAAGUAAAAAAUCAUAAUUUCAAGAUUCGUGAAAUUAAAAAAAGAAAGAAAAAAAAAGCAAAUUACACAUUUAUUGAGUGCAACGUAAAUUACACAUUUAUUGAGUGCAACUUUGGAAUAUUUUAACAUAUAUGUUGUAUUUCAUUAAUUUUUUAGUAGAGAAAGAACUCGUUCAUCCUUGCAUGGCGUAACUAUAUCUCGUUUUGGGUCAGCUAAUCAUCAAUCAACACGUGGUGGUCCUACAGAAAGUCUCCAACAUUUGCCAUGAUAACAAACAUACUUGGGAUGAAUAGCUAAUUGUGGACAAUCCUUAUCAGAUUCGCAAUUAAUUGUGGCUGUAAUAAUGAAAAAUGACAAUAAAACAAUUAUUCCAAAAAAAUGAGAUAAAUAUUGUUGACAAACUAAAGAAAGAAAUUUGAAACAGAUGAAAAAAUAACUUACAUUUUUGAGCCAUUGCAACGAGAAAUAAGGAAAAUAAUAAAAUCAUGGUACACACAAAUUUUAGAGUUUUAACCAUAUUUUUUCUCUCUUUGCAUUUAACAAACAAAAUAUGAUUUAAUCGAUCUAUAUAAUGUAUGAAGUGCAUGUUG
rnacentral:lncRNA from 1 species